rnacentral:rRNA from 1 species
CAACGUGGGUGACCUGCCUUCGAGCGGGGGAUAACGUCCCGAAAGGGGACGCUAAUACCGCAUAACAUCCUGCCUUUUAAGAGGUGGAGAUCAAAGCCGGGGAUUCGCAAGAACCUGGCACUUGAAGAGGGGCCCGCGCCUGAUUAGCUAGUUGGUGGGGUAAUGGCCUACCAAGGCAACGAUCAGUAUCCGGCCUGAGAGGGCGGACGGACACACUGGGACUGAGACACGGCCCAG